GAUUUCUGGUUAAGUAACGCUAGCCCGCCCUUGCCAGGGGUGUGCGCUGGUUAGUUGCUUGCCAUCUUUCUAGAAAGCCAGCGUUUGUCAUUCACUUGGCGGACGUGACGCGAUCUAGAUCUUUUACUUUGAAAAAAUUAGAGUGUUUAAAGCAGGCUUGCGCUAUGAAUACAUUAGCAUGGAAUAAUAAUUUAGGACUUUGGUCUUAUUUUGUUGGUUUCUAGGACUAAAGUAAUGAUUGAUAGGGACAGUUGGGGGUGCUAGUAUUCAGCGGCCAGAGGUGAAAUUCUUGGAUUCGCUGAAGACUAACUUAUGCGAAAGCAUU
rnacentral:rRNA from 3 species